rnacentral:rRNA from 1 species
CUGGCUCAGAUUGAACGCUGGCGGCAUGCUUUACACAUGCAAGUCGAACGGCAGCACGAGUACUUGUACUUGGUGGCGAGUGGCGAACGGGUGAGUAAUGCAUUGGAACGUACCGAGUAGUGGGGGAUAACUGUCCGAAAGGAUAGCUAAUACCGCAUA